UAUUGAAUUAAUGUGGAGUUGGUUGUAGCUGGUCCGCUGGAUUUUUUAAAUAAAUUCCUUUGGACAUGUGCACGCCUUCUCUUUCAUCCACACACACCUGUGCACCUGUGAGGCAGAUGUUGGGGGACUUAAUUGUAACCCUCUCUGUCUACUUAAUUCACACAAACUCUAUUUAUUUUAAAAUGAAUGUAAUUGAUGUAACGCAUCUAAUACUAAGUUUCAACAACGGAUCUCUUGGCUCUCGCAUCGAUGAAGAACGCAGCGAAAUGCGAUAAGUAAUGUGAAUUGCAGAAUUCAGUGAAUCAUCGAAUCUUUGAACGCACCUUGCGCUCCUUGGUAUUCCUUGGAGCAUGCCUGUUUGAGUAUCAUGAAAUCUUCAAAGUCAAUCUUUUGUUAAUUCAAUUGGUUGUUGCUUUGGUAUUGGAGGUCUUUGCAGCUUCACACCUGCUCCUCUUUGUGCAUUAGCUGGAUCUCAGUGUUAUGCUUGGUUCCACUCGGCGUGAUAAGUUAUCUAUCGCUGAGGACACUGUAAAAGGUGGCCAAGGUAAAUGCAGAUGAACCGCUUCCAACAGUCCAUUCACUUGGUCAAUAUUUUUAUGAUCUGAUCUCAAAUCAGGUAGGACUACCCGCUGAACUUAAGCAUAUCAAUAAGCGGAGGAAAAGAAACUAACAAGGAUUCCCCUAGUAACGGCGAGUGAAGCGGGAAGAGCUCAAAUUUAAAAUCUGGCAGCUUAUGUUGUCCGAGUUGUAGUCUAGAGAAGCAUCAUCCGUGCUGGACCAUGUACAAGUCUCUUGGAACAGAGCGUCAUAGAGGGUGAGAAUCCCGUCCUUGACAUGGACUCCCAGUACUUUGUGUUGUGCUCUCAACGAGUCGAGUUGUUUGGGAAUGCAGCUCAAAAUGGGUGGUAAAUUCCAUCUAAAGCUAAAUAUUGGCGAGAGACCGAUAGCGAACAAGUACCGUGAGGGAAAGAUGAAAAGCACUUUGGAGAGAGAGUUAAACAGUACGUGAAAUUGUUGAAAUGGAAACGCUUGAAGUCAGUCGCGUUCUCUGGGAUUCAGCCUUGCUUCUGCUUGGUGCAUUUCCUAGUCUACGGGCCAGCAUGAGUUUUGACCGGUGGAAAAAGAUUUGGGGAAUGUGGCACCUUCGGGUGUGUUAUAGCCCCUUGUCACAUACAUCGGUUGGGAUUGAGGUCUUAGUGCACGC
rnacentral:rRNA from 1 species